UCCAUCUCGUCGGGGUGCCGUCCGUCACGGGCGGCUGAGAGGCCAACGCCAACCCGCGAACCUGAUCCGGAUCAUGCCGGCGGAGGGAACCGAGACUGCGGCGCGC
rnacentral:ncRNA from 1 species